rnacentral:lncRNA from 1 species
GCCAAACCCAGCAUGUGUUGCGCCUCGUUUGCUGCUGAUGGUUUAAACAGCCCUUAAGUUAAGAAAUAAAAACGUACUGUUUCUGUAAAACUGUUCCUAACUGGAUAAAGAAAAGACGCACGCACGGGUUGGACUUCAAACAAUUCCUGGGCCCAAGGGAUCUUCUUUUCUUAGCAUCCCUAGUCUCUAGGAUUGAAAGUGUGCAGGAUGGCCACCAAGUGUGAUGACCUGAGUUCUGUACCCAGGACCUACAAUGGUGGAAGGAGAAAACAGACUCCUGCAAGUUGGCUUCUGACCUCCAUAUGCAUAGUGUGGUAUGCCCAAGUCAGAAGAUGAUGUAGAUGGUGUGGAUUCCCUGGAGUUGGAGUUACAGGCACAUACUCUGGCUGUGCAGCUGAGGCUGGCUUUGGACAACGGAUCUCCUACUCCCAUCUCCCGGGUGCUAGGAUUUAGG